CGGUAAUAGAUUGUUGUAUUGCUGGUUUGUUGAUUAACAGAUGUGUAUAGAUUUAGUUGUAAAGAAAAAGUUAAACUUACUCUUUAAUACAACUUUCUGGUACCUUAUCUGCUUACUGUCUGGAACAGUUCAGACACCAAGCUUUCUUGAAAAACAUUUACAAGAUAUAAACUCAAGUUUCCAGGUGACAUCCUUUGCACGUCGAUUGAGGUGACAGGAUUCAAGCCCACAUUCAAUGUACAAGACGAAAUUUAUCACAAAGCUGAAUCAAUUCUUCCAUUGCCAAAUGAGAGUGCAAAAUUUUUGCAGAUUUACUUGUAGGUAAUGAACAAAUUGAGGCUGAUCAACUCUGUAGGACACAUUUCAGCACAUGUCGACCCCGAUUUCUAUGCAGAGAAGCUGUACAUAAACUCCUCCUGUAAACUAUGUAUCUAUGAAUAUGCAGCCAUUAGUACAGAUCCUGAACUGUGUACUCAAAUUGGAAAAAAUUAUUAUCAUAUGAUUAUCAUAUCAUACUGAUGAAGAAAGGAAGUUCUAUAGAAACGGCCAUUGCUACCUUGAUAUGUAUGGGAGUUGAGUAGU